UAUCCAAUCAAAAUAAGGUCAAUAGGAAAAAGCAGCGUGUGAACCAAACAGCAGGCAGAAAGUCAUUUGUGAGGUUAAUACAAGAGAUAGGUUCAAGCUCAAAAAACUUGGUAAACUUCUAUAAAGAAACUAGAUGGUAAAAGAAGAAAGGAGCAUUUGUCACUCCCAUGACAUAAACACUCUAUAAUACGAUGAUUGAGAAGUUAGAUGAGAUCGAGCCUGAGGAGCGCACAAAUGAGGCUGCUAAUAAAAUAUUUAGAGAUGUGCUAGGGCAUAGGUCUGGUUAUGCAAGAGGACUUGGUGGUUUAGUUAUACCCGAGCCUAGACCAUCAUAUAUGUCGGCACAACUUGAGCACCUAGCCCAAGAAAAUGAGAAACAU